rnacentral:misc_RNA from 1 species
AACUGUUAACAACGGAUCUCUUGGUUCUGGCAUCGAUGAAGAACGCAGCGAAAUGCGAUAAGUAAUGUGAAUUGCAGAAUUCAGUGAAUCAUCGAAUCUUUGAACGCACAUUGCGCCCUCUGGUAUUCCGGAGGGCAUGCCUGUUCGAGCGUCAUUAUACCACUCAAGCUUAGCUUGGUAUUGGGGCCCGCCCACCAGCGGCCUCUAAAAUCAGUGGCGGUGCCGGUCGGCUCUAAGCGUAGUAAUACUCCUCGCUAUAGGGUCCGGUCGGUUGCUUGCCAACAACCCCAAUUUUUAUCAGGUUGACCUCGGAUCAGGUAGGGAUACCCGCUGAACUUAAGCAUAUCAAUAAGCGGAGGCU